rnacentral:lncRNA from 1 species
GAAGUGAAAAUACAGAAUCAUAAGGUAUUUCUUUUAGAAGCAUUGAGAAAAAAAUUCUCUGGUUCCUCAGGUACAAACUUUGUGCCUCUCCCUUUGUGUUAUGUCUUUUGCUCGUGUGUCUUUGUUUUUUUCUGAACUCCAUUUUUCUUAGGUGGACCAAAGACCGGCGUGCGAUGAGAGUGAUGUCUAUUGAACGUAAGAAGUGGAUGAACAUCCGUCCUCUCCCCACAAAGAAACAAAUGCCUUUACAGUUUGAUCUGUGCAACCAUAUUGCUUCUGGGAAAAAAUGUCAAUAUGUUGGAAACUGUUCCUUUGCUCAUAGUCCUGAGGAAAGAGAAGUUUGGACUUACAUGAAGGAGAAUGGGAUACAAGAUAUGGAGCAAUUUUACGAACUAUGGCUCAAGAGUCAAAAAAA